GAAAUGCGAUAAGUAAUGUGAAUUGCAGAAUUCCGUGAAUCAUCGAAUCUUUGAACGCACAUUGCGCCCUCUGGUAUUCCGGGGGGCAUGCCUGUCCGAGCGUCAUUGCGAACCCCUCAAGCACGGCUUGUGUGAUGGGCCCUCCCGCGUCUUGGUCAUCAAGACGGGCCCGAAAAGCAGUGGCGGCUUCGCGGUUAUCCGAUCAGCCAGAGCGUAUGGGGACUUUCUCUCUGUCACACGCCCGCGGCGCGGACCGACGCCUGUCGCCCUUUAUUCAUCUUUUUCUCGGUUGACCUCGGAUCAGGUAGGGAUACCCGCUGAACUUAAGC
rnacentral:misc_RNA from 1 species